GCUGGAGACAUAGGUUUCUAGUCCAUUUUACCAGCGUCAAGGACACAAUCUGGAGAGUCAUUGAUCAUAUUAGCAUCUCCCUGAGCUGGAUCAAUCGAAGAGUCUUUCUCAUAUUCCCCUGAAACCCCAUAUUACGAAUUCUCUUAACAGUGAUCUUCUAUAUCUAAUGGCAUGAUAUGUACCUGGCAUUUUAUUUGCUACAUCCACCGAUUUUGAGACCAAAAGCUAGUUAAAUUUAAGUUUAAAUUUGGUUAGUUCGGUUUCAAAAUUUCUACAGAAGUUUUUGAAUUCAGUUAAAUUUAAGUUUAAAUUGGUUAAAAAUUCAAAACAAAAUCGGUUAAAGUCGGUUAUUUCAAUAAGUUUGGUUAAUUCAGUUCAGAUUUUAGUUAGUUCGGUUCAGAAUUUUGGGUAAGAUUGGAAUAGUUUGGUUAAAAACAUUUUUUUGUGAGGAAACCGAACUGGAAACUGAAAAUGUUAAUGGCCAAAUCGAACCGAACCUCUUAACCGAAUACCUAACAUUUCGGUUUGGUUUGGCAGGUUUGGUUAAUAACCGCAGGCCUACCUAAAAGUAUCACCGAAUGUACUUUUUCCUUUGACACAUACUAAUUUAAAUGCAGGACCAUAUUGUUAACAUACAAGCACAAGACUCAUUCAUUUUGUUCUGGUGGGAAGAUCAUCUCCAGUGCAGACAUUGCUUUCUACAUCAACAAUGACAUGAUCUAUGUUGUGGAGUCAAAACCCGCAAAACAGUAUGGAGAUGUCUUCUUGCGGCAGAUUGAAAAGCUUGAAGGUGUGAUAAACGACAUGGACCGUACUUGAAUGAAAGAUUUUGUCUGUGCUACUUCUACCUUCACCUGUCUACUAAAUUGAUAUGCAUUUCAUGCUUUUAUUUAACCAUACAUAUACUUUGGAACCAA